GCAGUUGCUUAACCAACUGAGCCACCCUCGUGCCCUUUUCAGCUGGUUGUCAUGGCAUGCGUCAAGAGAAUCUUGGUGCCAGGGUACUCUGGACUAGCAUGGGAAUCUACUGCUAUCUAGAUAUAGGUAAUUAUUUUGCUGCCUUAUAAUGAAGUGGGACAUUGAGUAAAGGAAAUCGCCUUCUCACAAAUGCGAACAAAGCUUAGUGAUAGACUUGUGAUGAAAUUCUGAACCCUGCACAGACACGUCUUUGAAGGAUGCUGCCUGGAUUAGGCAACGAAGAUCUUUAUCAUGUAAAACUAAAUAAAAAAGUAAAGCUAAAU